GAUGAGCAUGCGUCCCAUUAGCUAGUUGGUGUGAUAACGGCACACCAAGGCAACGAUGGGUAGGGGUCCUGAGAGGGAGAUCCCCCACACUGGUACUGAGACACGGACCAGACUCCUACGGGAGGCAGCAGUGAGGAAUAUUGGUCAAUGGGCGCAAGCCUGAACCAGCCAUGCCGCGUGCAGGAUGACGGUCCUAUGGAUUGUAAACUGCUUUUGUACAGGAAGAAACACUCCCUCGUGAGGGAGCUUGACGGUACUGUAAGAAUAAGGAUCGGCUAACUCCGUGCCAGCAGCCGCG
rnacentral:rRNA from 1 species